CCGAGUUUACAACUCCCAAACCCCUGUGAACAUACCUAUACGUUGCCUCGGCGGAUCAGCCCGCGCCCCGUAAAAAGGGACGGCCCGCCCGAGGACCCCUAAACUCUGUUUUUAGUGGAACUUCCGAGUAAAACAAACAAAUAAAUCA
rnacentral:misc_RNA from 1 species